UCUCCAUAACACACACCUGGGAGCAACAUGAUAAUUAGUUACAGUUUUAUUUCAGCGGGAAUCUGAUCCAAAACAUAAAUGAAGGAAUAGGAACCUAAGGGACACUGGAAUUUCCCGAACAACCGAACCCUUAAAAGCACCUCCCCAUCCUUCCGCCAGGCUGUGGUCAUUGGUGAAUCACUGCUGCUGGACGCAAUGCAGCUCAGAGUCACAUUGUUUCCCCGCAGUGCAACAGACGUCUCUGGUACCUAUAAUGGCAGGCUGGGAAUAAUUAAAACAAGAAAAAAAGACUGACCACAAACAAACUCUUCCGGGCUGAUGGACAGGACAUUGCGACCGAGCAGAUUCACAGGAUGGGCACAGAUAGCACUGACAGACUGCUGGA